rnacentral:rRNA from 1 species
CAGGCCUAACACAUGCAAGUCGAGCGGACUUAUCCUUCGGGAUAGGUUAGCGGCGGACGGGUGAGUAACACGUAGGCAACCUGCCUGUAAGAUCGGGAUAACUACCGGAAACGGUAGCUAAGACCGGAUAGCUGGUUUCUCCGCAUGGGGGAAUCAUGAAACAUGGGGCAACCUAUGGCUUACGGAUGGGCCUGCGGCGCAUUAGCUAGUUGGUGGGGUAAUGGCCCACCAAGGCGACGAUGCGUAGCCGACCUGAGAGGGUGAUCGGCCACACUGGGACUGAGACACGGCCCAGACUCCUACGGGAGGCAGCAGUAGGGAAUCUUCCGCAAUGGGCGCAAGCCUGACGGAGCAACGCCGCGUGAGUGAUGAAGGUUUUCGGAUCGUAAAGCUCUGUUGCCAAGGAAGAACGCCUCGGAGAGUAACUGCUCUGAGGGUGACGGUACUUGAGAAGAAAGCCCCGGCUAACUACGUGCCAGCAGCCGCGGUAAUACGUAGGGGGCAAGCGUUGUCCGGAAUUAUUGGGCGUAAAGCGCGCGCAGGCGGUCUUUUAAGUUUGGUGUUUAAGCCCGGGGCUCAACCCCGGUUCGCACUGAAAACUGGGAGACUUGAGUGCAGGAGAGGAAAGCGGAAUUCCACGUGUAGCGGUGAAAUGCGUAGAGAUGUGGAGGAACACCAGUGGCGAAGGCGGCUUUCUGGACUGUAACUGACGCUGAGGCGCGAAAGCGUGGGGAGCAAACAGGAUUAGAU